ensembl:snoRNA
CCUCGCUGAUGAAUACCUUCUGACUUUCGUUCUUCUGAGUUUAUUGAAGCCAGAUGCCAUUCCUGAAAAGG